UACAGAGGUGGCAAGCGUUGUUCGGAAUUACUGGGCGUAAAGGGCGCGUAGGCGGUCUUAUAAGUCUCGUGUGAAAUCCCUCGGCUUAACUGAGGAACUGCACGGGAUACUGAAAGACUUGAGAUCGGGAGAGGGAAGCGGAAUUCCGGGUGUAGCGGUGAAAUGCGUAGAUAUCCGGAGGAACACCGGUGGCGAAGGCGGCUCCUGGACCGACACUGACGCUGAGGCGCGAAGCUAGGG
rnacentral:rRNA from 1 species